rnacentral:rRNA from 1 species
GAUGGAUAGGGGUUCUGAGAGGAAGGUCCCCCACAUUGGUACUGAGACACGGACCAAACUCCUACGGGAGGCAGCAGUGAGGAAUAUUGGUCAAUGGCCGAGAGGCUGAACCAGCCAAGUCGCGUGAGGGAUGAAGGUUCUAUGGAUCGUAAACCUCUUUUAUAAGGGAAUAAAGUGCGGGACGUGUCCCGUUUUGUAUGUACCUUAUGAAUAAGGAUCGGCUAACUCCGUGCCAGCAGCCGCGGUAAUACGGAGGAUCCGAGCGUUAUCCGGAUUUAUUGGGUUUAAAGGGUGCGUAGGCGGCCUUUUAAGUCAGCGGUGAAAGUCUGUGGCUCAACCAUAGAAUUGCCGUUGAAACUGGGGGGCUUGAGUAUGUUUGAGGCAGGCGGAAUGCGUGGUGUAGCGGUGAAAUGCAUAGAUAUCACGCAGAACCCCGAUUGCGAAGGCAGCCUGCCAAGCCAUGACUGACGCUGAUGCACGAAAGCGUGGGGAUCAAACAGGAUUAGAUACCCUGGUAGUCCACGCAGUAAACGAUGAUCACUAGCUGUUUGCGAUACACUGUAAGCGGCACAGCGAAAGCGUUAAGUGAUCCACCUGGGGAGUACGCCGGCAACGGUGAAACUCAAAGGAAUUGACGGGGGCCCGCACAAGCGGAGGAACAUGUGGUUUAAUUCGAUGAUACGCGAGGAACCUUACCCGGGUUUGAACGCAUUCGGACCGAGGUGGAAACACCUUUUCUAGCAAUAGCCGUUUGCGAGGUGCUGCAUGGUUGUCGUCAGCUCGUGCCGUGAGGUGUCGGCUUAAGUGCCAUAACGAGCGCAACCCUUGCCACUAGUUACUAACAGGUGAUGCUGAGGACUCUGGUGGGACUGCCAGCGUAAGCUGCGAGGAAGGCGGGGAUGACGUCAAAUCAGCACGGCCCUUACAUCCGGGGCGACACACGUGUUACAAUGGCGUGGACAAAGGGAGGCCACCUGGCGACAGGGAGCGAAUCCCCAAACCACGUCUCAGUUCGGAUCGGAGUCUGCAACCCGACUCCGUGAAGCUGGAUUCGCUAGUAAUCGCGCAUCAGCCAUGGCGCGGUGAAUACGUUCCCGGGCCUUGUACACACCGCCCGUCAAGCCAUGGGAGCCGGGGGUACCUGAAGUCCGUAACCGCGAGGAUCGGCCUAGGGUAAAACUGGUGACUGGGGCUAAGUCGUAACAAGGUAGCCGUACCGGAAGGUGCGGCUG